AGAGCCCAGACUUGAAAAUCGCGUGGCUUCGCCCCGCGAAUUGUAGUCUGGAGAAGCGUCCUCUGCAGCGGACCGGGCCUAAGUUCCCUGGAAAGGGACGCAUUAUAAGGUGAGAGCCCUGUCUUGGCUCGGACCCUGCUGCUCCACGAGGCGCUGUCUGCGAGUCGGGCUGUUUGGGAAUGCAGCCCUAAGUGGGAGGUAAAUUCCUUCUAAGGCUAAAUACAGGCAAGAGACCGAUAGCGAACAAGUACCGCGAGGGAAAGAUGAAAAGGACUUUGAAAAGAGAGUUAAAAAGUGCUUGAAAUUGCUGGGAGGGAAGCGAAUGGAAGCUGCGGGUGCGCCUCGGUUGGAUGCGGAACGGCGAGAGCUGGUCCGCCGCUCAACGCGGGGCGCUGGUCAGCGUGGGCCACUGCGGCGGGACAAGAGCCGGCUUUGUUGCCGGCCUAUGCCGUUGCGGUGGCCGAGGGACGAAGCGCGCGCCGCUCGCGGCGGGCCUCAGGGCACCUGCGCGCUCGGGACGCUGGCGUAUUGAGCUCUCCAUCCGACCCGUCUUGAAACACGGACCAAGGAGUCUAACAUGUAUGCGAGCCGGUGGGCGGCAAACCCAUUGAGGCGCAAGGAACCUGACAGGUGGGAUCCCCUCGGGGAGCACCAUCGACCGACCGUGAUCUUCUGUGAAAGGUUUGAGUGUGAGCAUACCUGCUGGGACCCGAAAGAUGGUGAACUAUGCCUGAGCAGGGCGAAGCCAGAGGAAACUCUGGUGGAGGCUCGUAGCGAUACUGACGUGCAAAUCGUUCGUCAGACUUGGGUAUAGGGGCGAAAGACUAAUCGAACCAUCUAGUAGCUGGUUCCCUCCGAAGUUUCCCUCAGGAUAGCUGGAGCUCGUGAAGUUUUAUCAGGUAAAGCGAAUGAUUAGAGGCAUCGGGGGUGUAACACCCUCGACCUAUUCUCAAAGCUUUAAAUAG
rnacentral:rRNA from 1 species